rnacentral:lncRNA from 1 species
GACGAGGUGGGGUGGGGGUGGGGCUGCUAGGAAAGCACUGUGGAAUUCAGAGUGAGGAGGGACUGGAGGGAGCUGGGUCUCCAUUCUGCAUUUACUGGGGCCUCACGGAGUGCAGACUCGGUAUUCCAUCGGGCAGUUCUCGGUAAUCUGGUAACACGUGUCCGAUGCCAGUUCCAGUUCUCUGGUUGAAUCUGAUAGGUACAGAUCCCAAACCCAUGUUGGACAUGGUGUGGGCAGGAUAACCUGGCAGGCCUGGGAGUCAAAUGAAGAGAGGAGCUGAGGGCUGCUGCAAAAGUCUCAGGAUGGCUGACUUGUCUCCUUCUGAAGUUUCUAGACUUGACUCUGACACAAAGGCCUUUGGGAGAACAGACUCAAGGGACAAGGGGUGAUGCUUCGCUUCCCUCAUUGGAGCCCCUUUCAGAGGGGAAAACUCACAGGCAGGAACCUGCGUGCCAGCCCUGACCCAGAGCAACAGUGAACAGUCCCCGCUGUGUUCCACAGCGCUCAUCCAGAAACACUGCGGGGUUUCCAUCACAUUCUGCAGUCCACAGGAAACCUGGAAGCUGAGUCUUUUUCUUCUGUGAUCUCUGCCUCCCCUGCUGGCCUGUGCUCUAUGGGAGCUCAUUAGCUGAACCCCAGGACCAAGGACAAGCAAGCAGGGCUGAAUAGAGACUUUAUGAACAGCUGCUACUCCGUGGUGUUGUCUCCUUGUGAAGAAAGGGGUGAGCCUGGAAGUAGAAAGCAGGGGAUUUGGUUUUGUUAUUGCGUAAUCUUCCUGGAAGGCGGGCGAGGGGGGUGGUAAGAAGAGCAUUUGUCACUUGAACUGUCUGCUUGGGACAGUAUUCCCUGACCCCUUUCCAGGACUUCCAUAACUUGGCACUGAGUUGGCCCUUAAGUUGGCAAACAAACCUUGGCACUGAGCAACACUUAAGAGGUAGAAAGAAUGUUUUCAUGCCUUCAGCAGCUCCAGCAGACUCUGAAGGCUGAGCGGUAGCAGUUCUAUCGCCUGCCAUCCAGCCCCAGAGUAGAAGGGUCCGGCAUCUCCAGCCAGGUAGCCUGUAUGUCAGGCUCACAUAGGCUAUGUAUGGCAUCUCCAUCUCGGGAGAACAAGCGUUGAUGCUUCAGUUCUGGCCUCGUCAUUACCAAUGUCCUUCAAUGGUCCCUCUUUACUCUGAGGGGAGCAGAAAAGGGGGUCUCAUUUGGAUGCCAUGAGAUAAGCUAAUUUCUAGAACCUUCUCUAUCUUCUGUCAGUUCUAGUUUGGAUUAGCGAUUAGCUGUCAGAACCAGACAGACAACUCUACUCAGACAAGUACCAGAUGGGGAGCGCUGAGUCCUCGGGUGCCGAAGGGACCUCAGAUGAUUCCUACAGGGCCUGUGCUUUCUUCCCCUGCUUAGAGAACAGCACAUAGGUCCUUAGCGGCUUGCACAUAAACAUAAAUGAAAGAUCUUUAGCCCCAUAAGAAAGAAAAAAUAAACAAAAAACCCUGAGCAGCCUGGUUUGGGAUAAAAACAUGCAGUGUACAUGAUUUUUGUAAAAAUUAACUUUGGCCAGAGCACUUGGGAAGCAAGCAGCAUCUAAGCUGAGACAGGCAGUCAUGCCUGAAAACCUGUCUAGUUGACAAGCAUAUGCAAAUGAGGAAAGAGGGAGGCCUCCCUGGUCCUAGUCAGCAGGCUAGGCUGACGGCCAUGACAGGCUUCAAACUGACAGUUAAGGAGACUAGGCCUAAACCUCUGUUUCCAAGACCUGGGAAAUUCUUGGCGAGUCCAGGCCUGCCUCAGAAGGUGCCCCACCACCUGGCCUGAGGCAAGGACAAUGGAUGAGUCAGCUGCAGUUUCCAGAUCGACUCCCCCUAGCAAGUUUCCAGCCCCUCACACCUCAGUAAUGGAAUGUCUAUAGAGAUGGACCCAACAGAUUAACGUAGAGGUCACCUACCCCAGAAUUCCCUAAUGUGCUUUAAAUCAGGCCUGUAAGCUCACUUGGUUGACUCUCUCUGUUCUGGUAAUGGGAGAGCCCAGCAUGCUGGACUACAGAAUAAAACACUCUUUGUGUCUAUAUACUAUUCAAGUCCGGGCUUUCGUUCUUUGUGGAAAUAUGGACCCUUACAGUAGGAAGGAGGUAGCCUAGCAUGGUGUGAGGUACUGGGACAGAGCAAAGAGUCUUCCAGAGAAGAGGGUGAGAAGAGACUCUUGGCUCCAUGAAAAAGCUAAAGCCAGCAAGAACAUAAGGCGGGAACUUGAACAGUGUCAGAGCUGUGAGCUGAUCUGUGGGGUUUCUGCCCCUGGCUAGUGACGUAGCCCGGAGGAGUCCUUGCCACCCAUGCCUUCGGGUAGAGGAGGAGUAGGAUUUGCAGAGCGUUCAGAGCUUCAUCCUGGUACCAAGGCCCUUACCCACAGCUUUGCGGUGCUUGUCAUUAUGUACCCACAGUAAACCACAAUCCAAAAGUAUCAAAUGGGAAACUCUAAAAAUAAAUAACUCAAGAACUUGACAUUGCGGCCUCUGUCAGGAACUCUGCUCCCAUCAGCUCCCUCUGACUCCCGGAUGGGAAUUAUUCCCUCGUGCAGUAUAACCUCACCCUGCCCAUCAGCGCUUACUUCGUUCCCAGCCGUUUCAGCUCUCAGGCCUACUGUGGGGUUACAGUAAUCUAGAUCCACAUUAUGUUUAUGUUGUUGAUCUUGAGUUGUGCUUAAUUUUACUUAUUAAACUUAUUCUUACUAUGGGUAUCCAUAGGAAAACACA